AUUGAACGCUGGCGGCAGGCCUAACACAUGCAAGUCGAGCGGAUGAAGGGAGCUUGCUCCUGGAUUCAGCGGCGGACGGGUGAGUAAUGCCUAGGAAUCUGCCUGGUAGUGGGGGAUAACGUCCGGAAACGGGCGCUAAUACCGCAUACGUCCUGAUGGAGAAAGUGGGGGAUCUUCGGACCUCACGCUAUCAGAUGAGCCUAGUUCGGAUUAGCUAGUUGGUGGGGUAAAGGCCUACCAAGGCGACGAUCCGUAACUGGUCUGAGAGGAUGAUCAGUCACACUGGAACUGAGACACGGUCCAGACUCCUACGGGAGGCAGCAGUGGGGAAUAUUGGACAAUGGGCGAAAGCAUGAUCCAGCAAUGCCGCGUGUGUGAAGAAGGUCUUCGGAUUGUAAAGCACUUUAAGUUGGGAGGAAGGGCAGUAAGUUAAUACCUUGCUGUUUUGACGUUACCAACAGAAUAAGCACCGGCUAACUUCGUG
rnacentral:rRNA from 1 species